rnacentral:rRNA from 1 species
CCUACGGGGUGCAGCAGUGGGGAAUAUUGGGCAAUGGGCGCAAGCCUGACCCAGCAACGCCGCGUGAAGGAAGAAGGCUUUCGGGUUGUAAACUUCUUUUCUGAGGGACGAAGAAAGUGACGGUACCUCAGGAAUAAGCCACGGCUAACUACGUGCCAGCAGCCGCGGUAAUACGUAGGUGGCAAGCGUUAUCCGGAUUUAUUGGGUGGAAAGGGCGUGUAGGCGGGAAAGCAAGUCAGAUGUAAAAACUCAGGGCUUACCCCUGAGACUGCAUUUGAAACUGUUUUUCUUGAUUGCUGGAGAGGCGAGCGGAAUUCCGGGUGUAGCGGUGAAAUGCGUAGAUAUACGGAGGAACACCAGUGGCGAAGGCGGAUUGCUGGACAGUAACUGACGCUGAGGCGCGAAAGCGUGGGGAGCAAACAGGAUUAGAUACCCCAGUAGUC